rfam:Dipodomys ordii contig_52274, whole genome shotgun sequence.
UGGCUCAGUGGUAGAGUGCUUGCCUUGCAUGCAUGAGGCCCUGAGUUCGAUUCCUUAG